UACGUAGGGGGCAAGCGUUGUUCGGAAUUACUGGGCGUAAAGGGCGCGUAGGCGGCACGGCAAGUCAGGAGUGAAAGGCCUGGGCUCAACCGAGGAACUGCUUUUGAGACUGCCGAGCUAGAGUGCAGAAGGGGCAACUGGAAUUCCCAGUGUAGCGGUGAAAUGCGUAGAUAUUGGGAAGAACACCUGAGGCGAAGGCGGGUUGCUGGGCUGACACUGACGCUGAGGCGCGAAAGCCAGGGGAGCGAACGGG
rnacentral:rRNA from 1 species